rnacentral:rRNA from 1 species
GAUGAACGCUGGCGGCGUGCCUAAUACAUGCCAGUCGAGCGAACAGACGAGGAGCUUGCUCCUCUGACGUUAGCGGCGGACGGGUGAGUAACACGUGGAUAACCUACCUAUAAGACUGGGAUAACUUCGGGAAACCGGAGCUAAUACCGGAUAAUAUAUUGAACCGCAUGGUUCAAUAGUGAAAGACGGUUUUGCUGUCACUUAUAGAUGGAUCCGCGCCGCAUUAGCUAGUUGGUAAGGUAACGGCUUACCAAGGCAACGAUGCGUAGCCGACCUGAGAGGGUGAUCGGCCACACUGGAACUGAGACACGGUCCAGACUCCUACGGGAGGCAGCAGUAGGGAAUCUUCCGCAAUGGGCGAAAGCCUGACGGAGCAACGCCGCGUGAGUGAUGAAGGUCUUCGGAUCGUAAAACUCUGUUAUUAGGGAAGAACAAAUGUGUAAGUAACUAUGCACGUCUUGACGGUACCUAUCAGGAAGCCACGGCUAACUACGUG